AUGGGCUGCUUCCUCGCCUGCUUCGGCGGCGGCGACGGCGACCGCCGGCGCCGGAAGCCGCGGAGGCGGUCCCCGGCGAGGCUCCCGCCGCGGCCGCGGCCGGACCAUGUGGCUCUGUCCGGCGAGGCGUCGUCGCUGGCGGAUGUGGUGGUGAAGCAGGUGUCCGCGCCGUUGCCAGAGACGAGGGCUUUGGCGCCGCCUCCGCCACGGCCGCCGCUGGUCGUGGAGGUUGCGGAGGAGGCGGCCGCUGCCGCGAGCUCCGGAAAGGAGCCGAGGGAGUUGAGCGAGCAGAAAACUGUGACAUCACCAACGCCGACAGUGGAUGCCGUGGAGGAGGUGGUCACUGCCGCGAGCCCUGGAAGAGAGCUGAGGCAGUUGAGUGAGCACAAGGAAGCGCCUGCACGCUCUUUACUGCUGGAGAAGGUAGUCACACCACCACUCCCGGGAAGAGAGCUGAGGCAGUUGAGUGAGCACACGGAAUCACCUGGACGCUCCUUGCUGCAGGAGAAGGUACUCACACCACCACUCUCCCCAGUGAAAUGUUCACCUGUGGCAGCAGCUGUUGCUUCAACUCCUGAUAUGGAACUCAGGGAGGUGAGUGAAGAGGAUAGCCGCAGUGGUGGCAAGAAGAAAGUGACAUUUGACAUGAAUGUUACAACAUACGAAAAUACAUCGUCACCUGACCAAGAAGAGAUACCCUCGGAGCUUGUUAAGUGGAUGGAAGAUGAAGAGGAAGAACACAUGCAGAAGACUGUUCUGUUCUCAGAGAAUCAUCGGUACGGGAAUUGCACAGACAGUGAUGAUGACAAUGGAGAUGAGUAUGGUGAGGAUGACAACUAUGGUGAUGAUGGUGAUGCAGAGGAGGAUUUUGUGGACUGCAAGAUUGACUUGCUGGAUGAGGAGGAAAUAAGAACUGAAGAGAACCCAGAGGAGUCUCAGGAGUCUCUGUUCUCACUGCCAAUGUCUAAUUAUACGCAGAAUGACCAAGAUGUCAGUAGCCCUGUGCCCAAGAGCAGUGUUACCCCUGCACAGGAAGAAAGCCCUCUAAUCCAGGGGAACAAUCACCGUGAUAGAAGCCAGUACGUCCGCCCUGUUUUGAACCCAGUUCAGAAUCGAGAACAGUGGAAGGAAGUUAAGGCCCAAGCAGGACCAGUUAAAAAGUUGUACAAGGAGAAUGUAAACUCGGUGCCAAAUGUAGGUGCAACCCUUACUUGUAAGGUUGCAAAUCAAAUGAAGAUGGGCCCUAGCAACUCUAGCAAAGGGGAAGUUUCUGUGGAUGCAAGCCUCUCUACAUGGCUAGUUUCUUCAGACAACUCAACAGUUGAUAAGGCGCAAAGUAAAUCCCCCCGUUCAGUUUCCUCUGUAUGCAGACAAGAAAGGCCUGUCCUGGGUGCUUUGACUGUUGAUGACCUUAAGCAAUUGUCAGCUACAUCAUCUCCACGAAGGUCUCCAAGCCAUAACCGUGAAGAGGUGCCGAUCUUGGGUUCGGUGGGAAGUUACUGGAGUAGCACAAAGCAGGGUAAUGAGUACUGUUCUUCUAGGUCUGAUUCAGGAACUAAUGGAAUCCCCAAUUCAACAAGCAAAUACAGAGAGGACAGAAGGGUGAACUGGCACUCGACUCCCUUUAAUGUGAGGCUGGAUAAAGCUAUGAAGAAAUCUUCUGCAUGA
rnacentral:rRNA from 1 species